UCGCUGACGAGUGGCGGACGGGUGAGUAAUGUCUGGGAAACUGCCUGAUGGAGGGGGAUAACUACUGGAAACGGUAGCUAAUACCGCAUAACGUCGCAAGACCAAAGAGGGGGACCUUCGGGCCUCUUGCCAUCGGAUGUGCCCAGAUGGGAUUAGCUAGUAGGUGGGGUAACGGCUCACCUAGGCGACGAUCCCUAGCUGGUCUGAGAGGAUGACCAGCCACACUGGAACUGAGACACGGUCCAGACUCCUACGGGAGGCAGCAGUGGGGAAUAUUGCACAAUGGGCGCAAGCCUGAUGCAGCCAUGCCGCGUGUAUGAAGAAGGCCUUCGGGUUGUAAAGUACUUUCAGCGGGGAGGAAGGCGAUAAGGUUAAUAACCUUGUCGAUUGACGUUACCCGCAGAAGAAGCACCGGCUAACUCCGUGCCAGCAGCCGCGGUAAUACGGAGGGUGCAAGCGUUAAUCGGAAUUACUGGGCGUAAAGCGCACGCAGGCGGUCUGUCAAGUCGGAUGUGAAAUCCCCGGGCUCAACCUGGGAACUGCAUUCGAA
rnacentral:rRNA from 1 species